GGGAGUUUGGCCGAGUGGUUUAAGGCGUCAGAUUUAGGUUCGGAUGCAAGGGUUCGAAUCCCUUAGCUCUCA
rnacentral:tRNA from 1 species